rnacentral:rRNA from 1 species
AUUGAACGCUGGCGGCAGGCCUAACACAUGCAAGUCGAGCGGGGUUUUCGGACCUAGCGGCGGACGGGUGAGUAAUGCGUAGGAAGCUACCCGAUAGAGGGGGAUACCAGUUGGAAACGACUGUUAAUACCGCAUAAUGUCUACGGACCAAAGUGUGGGACCUUCGGGCCACAUGCUAUCGGAUGCGCCUACGUGGGAUUAGCUAGUUGGUGGGGUAAUGGCUAACCAAGGCGACGAUCCCUAGCUGGUUUGAGAGGAUGAUCAGCCACACUGGAACAGAGACACGGUCCAGACUCCUACGGGAGGCAGCAGUGGGGAAUAUUGGACAAUGGGCGCAAGCCUGAUCCAGCCAUGCCGCGUGUGUGAAGAAGGCCUUCGGGUUGUAAAGCACUUUCAGUAGGGAGGAAGGGUGUUGUGUUAAUAGCACAGCAUUUUGACGUUACCUACAGAAGAAGCACCGGCUAACUCUGUGCCAGCCGCCGCCGUAAAAC